AAAAAUGUUUUCUAGGGUUCCGCGAUGUCAUAUCGGCUGGUCCGAGAGAAAACUCACAGUCGUUGUACUGUGUCACGGAGGGAUAAAAGCCUGGGAGAA
rnacentral:sRNA from 2 species